AAUAGAUACCCAGGUAGUCCACGCCGUAAACGAUGAGUGCUAAGUGUUAGAGGGUUUCCGCCCUUUAGUGCUGAAGUUAACGCAUUAAGCACUCCGCCUGGGGAGUACGGCCGCAAGGCUGAAACUCAAAGGAAUUGACGGGGGCCCGCACAAGCGGUGGAGCAUGUGGUUUAAUUCGAAGCAACGCGAAGAACCUUACCAGGUCUUGACAUCCUCUGAAAACCCCUAGAAAUAGGGCUUCUCCUUCGGGGAGCAGAGUGACAGGUGGUGCAUGGUUGUCGUCAGCUCGUGUCGUGAGAUGUUGGGUUAAGUCCCGCAACGAGCGCAACCCUUGAUCUUAGUUGCCAUCAUUUAGUUGGGCACUCUAAGGUGACUGCCGGUGACAAACCGGAGGAAGGUGGGGAUGACGUCAAAUCAUCAUGCCCCUUAUGACCUGGGCUACACACGUGCUACAAUGGACGGUACAAAGAGCUGCAAGCCGCGAGGUGGAGCUAAUCUCAUAAAACCCGUUCUCGAGUUCGGAUUGUAGGCUGCAACUCCG
rnacentral:rRNA from 1 species